GAAACAUUUUCCAUUCAGUCCCUGAUGAUAUCCUACUGUGGACUUGUAUGUGGAUCCAGCCAUGGAUGAGCGUGCAAUUUUCACCUAGGUCAUCUGCUCACGCAUGAAUGCAAACAAAGCGUGGGAAAAUCCUACUCACAUACACUUGCCCUAAUCAACUGACUAUUGGUCAACCUAAGAAACCCUCUGUUUUUCGGUGGACACCAGAAGAGAGAGUAGCUGAUGGAAAAAUACCUAGAUGUUUCAGGCAGCUUCCAGAUUUUUGAAGGCAGUUGCAUGACAGAAGAUUGCAAGAAAGGGUUUGAGCUGUCAUCCCUAGAGAUCAGGAUUCAGAAAGAGCCCUGUCCACCAGGUUCAUCUUUUUGAAUGUCUGGUGAUAGGUGUUGCAGGAGCUCCUGGAUGCUAAGACCCAGCUGCAGGUGACCUUUGAAAAUGUAGCCUUUGAACUGUGCCUCUGUUUGUACAUCUGUGACAUGGGAAUAAUGGUAUUUUCAUACUUCAUAGUGGUGUUAGGAAGCUGUAUUGAUUUAAUAUCUUACGUUGCUAAUGUCUACUGCAAUGCCCAAAACUAGAGGGGAGACAUGACAUAGUUGUAUUGCCUGUACAUGUUCUUAGAAACCCAUGUAUAAUGAGUGCAGGCUGACAUCUUGCCUAUGAAUGGUAUGAGAGCACAACUUAAAAAGUUGAAUAUUUGUGGCCCAUCUAAAAUUCCUGAAAGAUAAUGGACUGCUUUUAUUAAAAUUAAACUUGCGUGUAGCUUCCCUAAUCAGAUUUUUUUAAAGGAUUUUCCACUUGGGAUCAGUACAGCUGAUCCCAGAUUACGCUGGAUCAAGUUUCAUUUUGCUGAGUGAGGUCUGAAUGAAAAUGUCGAUGUGAUUUUUCUUUAAUUUGUUCUUCGUGGGGUUUUUGACCGGUUAGCAGGAAAAGCAGUAAAUCAAUGAAGCACCUUAUUGGUAAUUAGAAUCACCUUCACGUCGGACGGGAAAGACUUGAGCAAAAGUUUGUGAAAAAGUUCUCAGAUUUCAGUGGCAUCAUUAUUACCACCCAUGAGAAAAGCCUUUAGAUGUCAUAAGCAAGCAUACUACUGGUGGAGUCUUAAAAGCGCUAAUGUGAUCAUUUGAGGGGAAAGUCUAUUUUUUUCUUAAAGCUUAAAGGAUUUACACUUCCUCCACCUUGUGUAAGACAGAGCAAACACAUUCUUUCUUUAUAAAUCAACAGUGGCUUACAUUGGGUUGAUUUAAAAAAAAACCCCAACAAAAUGGAUGUUUGGAUGGCUAGAAUGGUCUGACGUAGGUAGCUAGUUGCAGCUGCGAUGAGGUGCAGAGGCAGCUGUGCCCCAAAGAGGGCACCGCACCUGAUUCUUUUACUGGCCUUGGGCAAUUCACUUUACUCUGUGGCAGAGGUGGGUAAAAUGCGGAUGCAGCCCACCAGGCCAUUCUUUCCAGCCUGCAGGGCCCGUAAAAAAUUUAGAAAAUUAAUAUGUAUCUGCCCCUGGCUGCCUGUCAUGCUGCCCUCGAUGGCUUGUCAAAACUCAAUAAGCGCCCCUCCACCUUAAAUAAUUGCCCGCCCCUGCUCUAUGGCCUCUGCUUAUCUGUGGACUGGAUUGCAAAACCUCUCUAGGGCAUAGACUCUUCUUUACUAAUGUGUUGACAGGCCCAGUGUGCUCCUGCAGCACAAAUAUGAUGCAGGGUGUUAAUUAAGACUUCCUAUUCCACCUCCCAUCCUCCCCCUCCAGUUAUCCAUGCUUUCCAUUUCAGAUUGUUAUGCACUGAAUAAUAUGGAGUUUUACCCUUUUUUUUCAAUCGGCUAGGCAGCAUUUAACAUCAAAGACCUGCUUCUGGACCACAGUGUUUAAACGAUAAACUCCAAUAUGGCUGAUAUGCUCUUGCAUUAAAACAACUCCUUUUCAGUAAAUUGUGAUACAGCAGACAUAGGGAACAGUGAAGGUGACUGAGUUCAAUUAGUUAAACAAGACUGCCCUCUGCCGGUCUUAAACACCGGCAUCUCAGCUGGAAGAAGCAUUAUUUCCCCCCCUCCUACACAGCCAAUUAAAUGUGCUGUUACUAUAUUUUAAAAAAAUAAUAAUUAAUAGACAGGCUCUCUGGGCUGGCUCUAUAGUCUCAUUGAGACUGGGUCCCAAAUCAGACAAACAUUGAGCUAAUUUGUCCAAAUGCCUCCUGAUUAGGCUUGCUGUUAUCUGAAUGCUAUGAGCUAAUGGAGAUUACGCAGAAGGGAUCUGAUCCGGCCCUUUAGCUGUUUGUUUGAGUUCAGCGGCAGCACAGACCAUCACCAGCAUCUGUCUAAUGAGCGACAGCGUGAAUCCUGCUGGUUGUUUCUUUGCUGUCCCGGAUAACGACUAAGAAACAGUCUGAAACAGAUUUUCUGUGAAGACAGCAAGAGUAAAUACAGCUCUGGGCAGGUGGGGGAAUACUUAUUUCAUCAGCAAAUCUGAGUAUAAAGAAUGAUCCCUCACAAGAUAUCAGGCCCAAGCCUUUAAAGCUAUACUAAAAACCAUUGCUGCAAUUUAUUAUUUGCACGUAACAAAAUCACCAUCUCUCAAGCCUGGCAGGCAGGAGUCGGUGCUGUGCAAGACUAUUACUAUGACUAAUAGUUGUUCAAGCAAACUAAUCAGCCAGUUGUGUGUACAUAUGAGUGUUUGAAUCCCAGGUUGAAGAUUAAAUACAGUAAAAUCCUUCCUUAUAAAUUUAUUUUGAAAUGUGUUAUUUUACUUUGAACCUCUACCCCAGCUCCAUGUUGGAAAAUGUUGGCAGUAGGGCUGUAUUGGUUAGUGACUUAUUUUUUGUGCUGACAUAAAGCAUACCAGCAAAAGCCCUGUUUUUAGUGGCAAAACUGCAUUAAGAGUGUUACUAAUAGAGCGACAUCGGAGCAGCACUGAGCGUAGACCAGGUGUCUCCUCUCACAAAAGGAUCUCGGAGCAUUUUGCAAGUGAUGAAUUUAUUAGGUAGAUUAUCAUACCUUACACAGAGGGAGAUGGUGGGGGUUGUAAUAUCCAUUUUACUGAAGGCAAAUUUAUCACCUAGAGGAUAAGGGUAACUGGUCACAAGUGGCUCAGAUGCUUACGAUAGGAUUUUCAGGAGUGUCUAUACGUCUAAUUUCUAAUUGAAAUGAGUCAUAGAUUGGCAGCUGGGCAUUUCUGGAAUCCUGCAUUCCGGGGUGUCAGAUUCAAUAAAGGAGUUAGGCAGAACGGAGGCAUUCAAGCCAAAACCUGGGUUCCUGAAAACCUCUGUUCAGCUGCUGUCUACCCCUGAAGAUAUCCAGGCUCCACCAGCACCUUUCUUUAACCUUUAGAGCUCUACAGACAGCUCAAGUGCUGCUUUAGUGCAUGCCCACAGGUGCCUUGGUCUUGGCAGGGCUGAGCUCUUCUUUGUUAACUCAUUCCUAACCAUGGGAUCCAGAGACCAGGGGGUCCUCUGAACUACCUUGAAGGGGGCUCGGUCGGGUAGGUCUUCUCCAAGCAUGCCGAGCAGGUCUGUACAGGAUCGGGGCUUCUUGCAACAAGCUGCUUUGAAAACCCCAGAGGAGGUGAGAGGGAUUUCUCCAGUUAGCCUGGAGUGCAGAGCUCUCACCCAGAAGGUGGAAGACCUGGAUGCAAUUUCUUCUACCUAUGGAGAUUUGAAGGCGCAUUUCCCACACCACUACCCUCCCUACUAGGCUACUGGCAGUACAUGCGCGUGGAUGGAGUGGUUUCCAUGCCUUCCACUGAAACUAUUCAACCAUGCAGCAAAGAACUGGGGAUUCAUUGCCCAGAAAGCACCAAGUGAGCAUGACUCGGUAGGCUCAUGAUUUAGAGCACUCACUUAGGAAGACCUGACUUCUAACCCAUGUUCGAAGGACCGAUUAUGCCUCUGGAGUAAAAGAAUAGAGGAAAAAACUGCUUGGGGAUGGAAAGAGAAACUGUAAAUACUGACUUCUGGGAGAAUCCUAAGGGAAGGGAUGCAGCUCCCUUAAGCGCUGGAGCAGGAUAUUCUCCCCAGUCUCUUCGUAGCCAGCUCUAGCUGGUCCAAGAGGGAUUUUUAAAAACAUCCUAGCCGUCCGGUUGUUUCAACUCUUGUGUGAAAAUGGGACUUACCAUUUUACCCAAGAAACUUAUGUAGAAGUACAAUUACAGCCAUUGAUAAAGCCGGGAAUGAAGCCUGAAGUCAUGAGCACCUUGCAGUAGCCACUCAGGUACACCUUGAAUUAUUCUUUAUUAUUUGCAUUAUGCUAGUGUCUGUAACCCACAACUGACGUGGGGAUCCCAUGGUGCUAGAUACUCUACUAAUACAUAAUCAGACAGCCCUCAGCCCUGUUCUGAUGAGCUUUCAGCCAAAAGAGGGAAGACUGGGAGACAGACAGGGAGGUGGUAU